rnacentral:rRNA from 1 species
GACGAACGCUGGCGGCGUGCUUAACACAUGCAAGUCGAACGGAAAGGCCCUGCUUGCAGGGUACUCGAGUGGCGAACGGGUGAGUAACACGUGGGUGAUCUGCCCUGCACUUCGGGAUAAGCUUGGGAAACUGGGUCUAAUACCGGAUAGGAGCCAUCUUUAGUGUGGUGGUUGGAAAGUUUUUUCGGUGUAGGAUGAGCUCGCGGCCUAUCAGCUUGUUGGUGGGGUAAUGGCCUACCAAGGCGGCGACGGGUAGCCGGCCUGAGAGGGUGUACGGCCACAUUGGGACUGAGAUACGGCCCAGACUCCUACGGGAGGCAGCAGUGGGGAAUAUUGCACAAUGGGCGCAGGCCUGAUGCAGCGACGCCGCGUGGGGGAUGAAGGCCUUCGGGUUGUAAACUCCUUUCGCUAGGGACGAAGCUUUUUUGUGACGGUACCUAGAUAAGAAGCACCGGCUAACUACGUG